AUUCGCAGACAUGAAGCUAAGCCGCUAGAAGCUGGUUGUGUUGCACGCGUGCAUUAGCCCAACAUGUCGCGUGCGACUUCACAUGGCAACCGGCAUGUUGUGUGGGCGCGACUCAAAAGUUGGAAGAGACCAUGGCCAAAGAAGCAUGCCCAAAUCGGAGAAGAGAGAUCCAUCUUGCCUAGACAAGAAGACCCAAUCCGAAGGAACUCGGACCACAUGAGGUGGCUCUUUGAUGCCAUCAAGUAGGACUGAGCCAAUAGACCUACAACCAGAUCAGUCUAAGACAAUGACGAAGAGGAUGGGACGUGGACGUUCGGUGAAGCAUAAAAAGCUGAAUAAGAAUGUUGAAGCUCACGGCCUUGCACAAGCAAGAGGCCUUGUGCGAUGGACUGGGCUUGCAACCAUGCAAGAAGCCCAACCCAUGCUUGAAGGAGACACAUGCGCAUGCGUGUGCGAGCAAAGCAGCCUGCAGGGCCAGGAUAACACGCAUGUGGGGCGCGCACACAAGGCAGGCGGGAGCGUGGGCACAGACCACCUUGUACAUUGCACACGUGACCUACCCCGCCCCCAGGAUUU
rnacentral:lncRNA from 1 species